rnacentral:lncRNA from 10 species
GACCAUUCUACACAACAUGACCUUUUAACUUUAGGCCCCAACGGGUUCUGUGGUUUGCAUGCAGCCUGGAGUCCUUUUGAGAAACUUUUGUUGAAAAUGUGUGGAGAUCUGAGGAAAUGAAACAGAAUUUCAAAGGUCUUCCCAUCUUUGUUUCCUCGAAGAGGCAAUGUGAAGAAAAGGACAGUGGUGACAAGUGCUGGCUGGUGUGGAAUAAAACCAUGGAAAUGAUGUGAGCCUGAAAAAAUAAUCACAACAGUAAAGGCAAGAAAUGACUGGAAGAAAGACAUCUUCUCUUACUGGUUCUGGGAGAACUCAAUUCUCCCUUGAGAGAGACCUGCCCUGGCACUAUGGAAUAAGCAUGCUACGUUAACUUUCUAAAGGCCACUGGGGAACAAUUUACUGAACUGCAAACUUAAAGCCUCUGGAGAAACAGUACAGCACAGAGUGUGUCCUAAGGAACUUAAAGGAUGGAGUUGCUAUGUACAGAGAUGAGGAAGACUGCAGGAGCCCGAGUUUGUGGUGAGGAUGGGAAAUUAGAAGAUCAAAUAUGGACAAGGCAAGUUUGAGAUGAACACAUUUGCAAUUACAUUUUCCUAAGAACACUUCUAGUCCUUCUUAUAAUCAAUGACUCACAUUUAAGAAAAACAGUGGCAUAGAUUUUGGCCAUCACCCCUGCUAUUUUCCCUCUUUCUCUGGACAAUCAAGCAGCAUCUCAUUCUUCGGGGCAUACCAAAUACAUCAGGUCCUCUGAAUCCAGGUCUCAGAGCUUGACUACUAAAGAAGAUAAAUGAAUUUGCAGUGGUGAUGAGAUGGGUCCUCCCCUCACCUUGACCUUUCGUGGUCAAGAAUCAAGAGAAAGAUCUGAGGAUUCCAGGCUGAGAUCAACGAUUACGAUAUGUUUAGCAGAACUCCAGGACUCAGCAUGCUCUGCUAGUCCCUACUCAUAAAGCACUCACAGGUCUUCCCCACAUUUUCUACCCCCAGGGAAGGACAGAAUCAGGCCACUGAGGCACUGACCUCAGGGGUAAAAUCUUAAGGAGGCACCAAUUGUUGCAGCCGUGCAACUAAUCCUGCCUAAUGAGGUUCUUAUGAGUUGACUUGUGUUCCUCAAAAGGAUAUGCUGAAUUCCUUAACUCUAGUACUUUGGAAUGUGACCUUGUUUGGAAAUAAGGUCUUUGCAGUUGUAAUAAAAUAAGGUCCUUUUGGAGUGUGGGAGCUCAAUCCAAUGGCUGGUGUUUUUAUAAGAAGAGGAGAUGAGACACAGAAAGUGCCAUGUGAGGACACAAACAAAGGAAGAACACCAUGUAAUGACAGAGGCAGAGAUCUUCGUGACGCAGCUGCAAGGAAGGAACGUCGAGCAUUGAGCUGCUGACGGUGGCCCUCAAAGGAGGAAAGGAGGGAUUCCACCCAGGAUCUCAGAGAGAGCAUAGCUCUGCUGACACCUUGAUUUUGAACUUCUAGCCUCCAUCACUGUGGGAAAAUAGACUUCUGUUAUUUUAAAAAACCUGGUUUUUACAUGUUAUUACAGAAGACUUAGGGACCUAAUACAGAGGUAUAAGAAAAAGUUUUCAGGAGGAAUUUCUGGGAAUACUUCUUUAUAUGAGGCUUACAUUUAACUGGAAAUCUGACCAUGUUAAUCUGUGCUCCAGCUAGCACGUUAAAGCAUGUGGCAUAUGUGAGGAUGGGAUCCACAUCCUAGGGAUGGUAAGAGAACUGUGGAAUAAGCCUGGGUAGAUGGGUCAUGUUGUAAAGCUGCUAUACUAGUCCUGGAAGCCCUACCUCUGGCCUUCUUUAAUAUGAUAUUUAAAUAAACCUCUGUCUUAUGUAAGCAUAGCACUGUUUUUUUUUUUUUUUUU